UCUAUCCUGGCUCACCGCUUUUUGGUUUGAUCUGAAAUGUGGGAGUACCUCCAGCUGCUGUGCUAUUUUCACCAGCAUUUCCUAACCCCGGUGCUUCCCAGGGCUGUCAUAUCUCUCGUCUUCUCAUGCAGCUGCUUGUUGCAUCAUGCUCUUUUCUUCCUCCAGUAGGUGACUCCUCUUCACUUUUCACUCUUGUAGCCCCGGUCUUUCCUUUUUGGGCACACUCACAACAGGGAGUUACAGUAUGUUCCAGGGAUCAUAAGGACCGGAUAUCCUUUGCACCUCGGCCUGGAUGCUGCAUUGUACUCCAUGCAGCUGGACCUUUUGCAAAGUUGAACCAGCUACACACCAGCUUCUGGGAAAUGCAGAUUGGCUCCGGGUAGGGAAAGUGUUUAAAAUGCAAAAGAGAAGUGACAAGAGAUUUUAAAAGGAAUGUCUGUUUUUUUAGCAUCUGCUGGUUUGAGACUUUGUGGCAGGGAAAGUGGGUGGAAGGAGCCUUCUGUUUCAAAACCUCCACAGCAGUGUGAACAUAAUCAACCUCAGCUUAGACACUGAAGGGCUGACUUUGCUGCUUCAGAGAAUUUGGCCCUGGAUCUUAGAGAAAAUUGAAGGGAAAGCAACAACAACAACAAGCUUGCAGCAGAUUAUCAAGAUUGAUGUAAUAUCAGCGUUGGAACUAACUGCCAGGGCAUGAGAAGUGGAAUUAUAUUUGAAGCAGAAUAUCUUGGGGCCCCACUGCUUGGAUACAACCGGUUCAGUUUCCUUCUCCGCACUAGGCAGCAGCCGGAAUGUGACCUUAGUAAUAUGUACAGCACAGAAACAAGGACCAAAUCCCUUUUUAACCACCAUCAAAAGUGCCCAUCAAAAUGAAAAGGUGCCAUUCUGUGCAAUACUUCCCUUUACUAGUACUACCAAGUGAGAUCAUCAUCUUUCUCUACCACCCGCCACAAUUUUAAGAAGUCACUGGAGAACUGAAGUGGCAUAUGGGGUGUUACAGAACAGAAUGUGGACCCACUCUUUAAAAAUAGAAAGGAGGUGAUCUUGACCAUUACCACACUAAAAAAGAACUUCCAUUCACAGUAGAAUAAUGGCACCAGUAUUAAGAGAAAUAAGGCCCCAAUUCUCACUUCUGGUUGAGCUCUACUCUCGGUGCUGAGGGGAUGCGUGGGCAACAGUGGCUUGAUGCCAACACUAGGGGUCUUUGGUGACUAGGGGUCACCAAAUGAAAUUAGUAGGCAGCAGGUUUAAAACAAACAAAAGGAAGUAUUUUUUCACA